rnacentral:rRNA from 1 species
AUUGAACGCUGGCGGCAUGCCUAACACAUGCAAGUCGAGCGAGCGGCGGACGGGUGAGUAAUGUAUGGGGACUGCCCGAUAGAGGGGGAUAACUACUGGAAACGGUAGCUAAUACCGCAUACUAUCGGAUAACCCAUAUGGGAUUAGCUAGUAGUUGAGGUAAUGGCUCACCUAGUCGACGAUCCCUAGCUGUUCUGAGAGGAUGAUCAGCCAAACUGGGACUGAGACACGGCCCAGACUCAGACGGAGGCAGCAGUGGGGAAUAGUGAACAAUGGGCGAAAGCCUGAUGCAGCAAUGCCGCGUGUAUGAAGAAGGCCCUAGGGUUGUAAAGUACUGUAAGUCGGGAGGCGUUACCGACAGAAGAAGCACCGGCUAACUCCGUGCCAGCAGCCGCGGUAAUUC